UCCUUACACUACAGUUGGAAGCUCUUUAGUUCAUGAUAGGAACACAUCAACCUAAAUAAGAUAGCUAAUGUUCUCAACAAGAACAUACUAAACUUAGAUU